rnacentral:lncRNA from 1 species
CGCGGCCUAUUUUUGGCACACGGAGGCCCCUCGCAAAGUCUCGCGCCAUUCCGAGUCCGGCGGACGAAGUUGGCCAGCCCCACCCCCCAAGGCUAUAGCCCACCCGUUUUUGUGGCCUUUUUCCGCUGGACGAACUUGGCGCCCCGGCCUUCGGGCGGUUAUUUUUGGGCAAGGCUUUGCCCGCGCCUAUUUUUGGCACACGGAGGCCCCUCGUAAAGUCUCGCGGCAUUCCGAGUCCGGCGGACGAAGUUGGCCAGCCCCACCCCCCAAGGCUAUAGCCCACCCGUUUUUGUGGCCUUUUUCCGCUGAACGAACUUGGCGUCCCGGCCUUCGGGUGGUUAUUUUUGGGCGCGGCUUUGUCCGCGGCCUAUUUUUUGCACACGGAUGCCGCUCGUAAAGUCUCGCGGCAUUUCGAGUCCGGCGGACGAAGUUGGCCAGCCCCACCCCCCAAGGCUAUAGCCCACCCGUUUUUGUGGCCUUUUACCGCUGGACGAACUUGGCGCCCCGGCCUUCGGGCAGGUAUUUUUGGGUGCGGCUUUGCCCGCGGCCUAUUUUUGGCACACGGAGGCCCCUCGCAAAGUCUCGCGGCAUUCCGAGCCCGGCGGACGAAGUGGGCCAGCCCCACCCCCCAAGGCUCUAGCCCACCCGUUUUUGUGGCCUUUUUCCGCUGGACGAACAUGGCGCCCCGGCCUUCGGGCGGUUAUUUUUGGGUGCGGCUUUGCCCUUGGCCUAGUCUUGGCAUAUGGAGGCCGCUCGCGAAGUCUCGCGGCAUUCCGAGUCCGGCGGACGAAGUUGGUCAGCCCCACCCCCGAAGGCUAUAGCCCACCCGUUUUUGUGGCCUUUUUCCGCUGAACGAACUUGGCGCCCCGGCC